UUUCUUGCACCAGAUACUACCAAGGAGCUUGUCCAUGCUCUAAUAAUUUCCCGCAUGGAUUAUUGUAACCCUCUCCUGCUUGGUCUUCCCAAAAGCCGUACUGCACCCCUACAGUCUGUAAUGAAUGCUGCUGCUAGACUGAUUUUCCUCUCUAGUCGGUUCUCUCACACCUCACCCCUCUGCCAGUCCUUACAUUGGCUUCCUGUGUGCUAUAGGAGUCAAUUCAAG